UAUCGUUUUAAAGUACCUUCUUGCCAUGUCUAUUUUUGUUGUAACAUCCUUUUCGUUGCAAAUCGAUCAUAAUUUUGAAAAAUUCAAUCGUUUUCGUUAGGGAACAGAACCUUUUUCUAUUGAAAAAAGACUGAUUUGGUUAUAUUAUGAUAAAUCAACAUUUGAGCCCGAAAUGAAUAGUUUGUUUUCAUGUUAAAGAACAACCGGCUGAUUUCAAGUGUGUUUAUACUUCGCUCUUAUUUUUUUUCUAUCUCUGUUGACCGAUCAUUUUACGUGCCAGAAACGCGCUAGCGUGUCGACCGGAAAGUACAAAAUGUAUUUCAAUUCAAAAUUUGGCAAUCGUAAUCCAAUGAGAAUGGCUAGAGGAAGAGGAAUAGCACAAAGCAAUUUAUCUUCCAAUGAAUGCCUUUGUAAUAGACCACAUGGUUUUGUGCUUUGCAAUGUUUGUGGUUAUUUGACAAAGGGCAGAGUACGUUAUUUCUGUCCUAUUCAUCCACAGGUGUGUUGUCUUUGAUACAAUUUUUUUGCUUGACAUUGCUCAAUGUCCUCAAUGUAAGUCAUAUGGUUUUAUGUUGAGUGAAUAUUAAAUAUUAAAAAUAUCAUAUUCUUUAUUUAAUUUGAUGUUAAAAUAUAUUAAUAAUAUUUUUCUUAUUCUUAUUAUCAUAUUUUAUUAUCAUGAGUAGAUAUAUAUUCUAUCAUUAUUUUGUUUACUUAUUUCAACUAUUUUUAUUAUGAUAACAAUGUAUUUAUUUUAUGUUAUUGUAACAAAUGUAGAGACAUAAAAAGACAAAUACAGAUUAAUAUCAUUAAACUUUA
rnacentral:misc_RNA from 1 species